UACGUAGGGUGCAAGCGUUAAUCGGAAUUACUGGGCGUAAAGCGUGCGCAGGCGGCUUUGCAAGUCAGAUGUGAAAUCCCCGGGCUCAACCUGGGAACUGCAUUUGUGACUGCAUGGCUAGAGUACGGUAGAGGGGGAUGGAAUUCCGCGUGUAGCAGUGAAAUGCGUAGAUAUGCGGAGGAACACCGAUGGCGAAGGCAAUCCCCUGGGCCUGUACUGACGCUCAUGCACGAAAGCGUGGGGAGCAAACAGG
rnacentral:rRNA from 1 species